rnacentral:rRNA from 1 species
UACGUAGGUGGCGAGCGUUGUUCGGAUUUAUUGGGCGUAAAGGGUCUGUAGGAGGUUUGCUAAAUACGGGGUGAAAUCCGGGAGCUCAACUCCCGAAUUGCCUUGUAGACUGGCAGACUGGAGUACUGGAGAGGUAAGCGGAAUACCAGGUGUAGCGGUGGAAUGCGUAGAUAUCUGGUAGAACACCGAAGGCGAAGGCAGCUUGCUGGACAGUUACUGACUCUGAGAGACGAAAGCGUGGGGAGCAAAC